AAUGAACGUUGGCGGCAUGGAUUAGGCAUGCAAGUCGAGCGAGAACCGUAGCAAUACGGGGACAGCGGCGAAAGGGAGAGUAAUGUGUGGAUAUCUACCUCCAGGCCUGGGACAACUACGGGAAACUGUAGCUAAUACCAGAUAAUGUCUGCGGACCAAAGGUGUGAUUCCUCCGGGAGAUGAGUCCACAUCCUAUUAGCUAGUUGGUAGGGUAAUGGCCUACCAAGGCAAUGAUGGGUAGCAGGUGUGAGAGCACGACCUGCCUCAUUGGGACUGAGACACUGCCCAGACACCUACGGGUGGCUGCAGUCGAGAAUCUUCGGCAAUGGGCGCAAGCCUGACCGAGCGAUGCCGCGUGCGGGAUGAAGGCCUUCGGGUUGUAAACCGCUGUCAGAGGGGAUGAAAUACGUCGGGGGUUCUCCCCCGGGUUUGACAUAUCCUCAGAGGAAGGACGGGCUAAGUUCGUGCCAGCCGCCGCGGUAA
rnacentral:rRNA from 1 species